GAUGAAGAACGCAGCGAAAUGCGAUACGUAAUGUGAAUUGCAGAAUUCAGUGAAUCAUCGAAUCUUUGAACGCAUAUUGCGCUCUCUGGUAUUCCGGAGAGCAUGCUUGUUUGAGUAUCAGUAAACACCUCAACUUCCAUAUCUUUUUUGAAAUGGGAGUUGGACUUGAGUGAUCCCAACGCUUUUCCUCACCGAAAAGUGGCGGGUUACUUGAAAUGCAGGUGCAGCUGGACUUUUCUCUGAGCUAUAAGCAUAUCUAUUUAGUCUGCCUAAAAAACAGAUUAUUACCUUUGCUGCAGCUAACAUAAAGGAGAUUAGUUCUUGUGCUGACUGAUGCAGGAUUCACAAAGCCGGCUUCGGCCGACUUUGUAAACUCGAUCUCAAAUCAAGUAAGACUACCCGCUGAACUUAAGCAUAUCAAUAAGCGGAGGA
rnacentral:misc_RNA from 1 species